UUGUUCCUGGAUUUUUCAGUGAUGAUGAGCAGAGUCUGAGUGAACCUGCUGUCAGACAGGUUGGCCUGAUUGACGAUGCCAUCGUCCAUCGCCGAUGGCUGAUAGACAUCACGAUGCUGCGCCGGAAACAGCGUCAUCAGCUCCAGUAUCUCGCCCGUGCAUCUGUUGUCAUGCGACAGAGAAGUCACGUUCUAUAGACAGUUUCUAUAGACAGUUGUGAACGUGCUGACAGCUGGUUGCCCAGGCUAUGGAUUAAAGGUAAUACUGUUGGCCAGCAGAGCCCUGCUCACCCUGACGGCCCACUGCUGCUGUCAGACAACAUCUCCAAGAUGCUAGAAACUGCAGGACCAGAUGGCCAUCCCAAGGUUUCUAGAGAUUACAGCAGCUCCAGACUGAAUCCAAACUCACUCGUGAAGACUUCAGAUGACACCAACGCUCACAAAGACUACAGACGACAACUGUACAUGAACACACAAAACAUUGGACACACAAAACAAAUAUUAUCCUUAUUUUGCCUAUAAGGGUAAAUUUGAUGAUUUUCGAACUGCUUUAUUGUAACGUCUCUUAUAUCUGUAAAUGAACAAUAUUUACUCUC